rnacentral:rRNA from 1 species
CCUACGGGAGGCAGCAGUGGGGGAUAUUGGGCAAUGGGCGCAAGCCUGACCCAGCAACGCCGCGUGAAGGAAGAAGGCUUUCGGGUCGUAAACUUCUUUUCUCAGGGACGAAGCAAGUGACGGUACCUGAGGUAUAAGCCACGGCUAACUACGUGCCAGCAGCCGCGGUAAUACGUAGGUGGCAAGCGUUAUCCGGAUUUACUGGGUGUAAAGGGCGUGUAGGCGGGAAAGCAAGUCAGAUGUGAAAACCAUGGGCUCAACCUGUGGCCUGCAUUUGAAACUGUUUUUCUUGAGUACUGGAGAGGCAGACGGAAUUCCUGGUGUAGCGGUGAAAUGCGUAGAUAUUAGGAGGAACACCAGUGGCGAAGGCGGUCUGCUGGACAGCAACUGACGCUGAGGCGCGAAAGCGUGGGGAGCAAACAGGAUUAGAUACCCCUGUAGUC